UACGUAGGGAGCAAGCGUUCUCCGGAAUUAUUGGGCGUAAAGAGCGCGCGGGUGGUUGAUUAAGUCUGAUGUGAAAGCCCACGGCUUAACCGUGGAGGGUCAUUGGAAACUGGUCGACUUGAGUGCAGAAGAGGGAAGUGGAAUUCCAUGUGUAGCGGUGAAAUGCGUAGAGAUAUGGAGGAACACCAGUGGCGAAGGCGGCUUCCUGGUCUGUAACUGACACUGAGGCGCGAAAGCGUGGGGAGCAAACAGG
rnacentral:rRNA from 1 species